CGUUUUCCUGAGGAACCGGCUAUGGAAAUGCACGGCAGCCAGGCCUUUCAGGCCCUUUGCUGACACCGACUAUGUGUGUAGCCUCAAGAGCACGGGUGGCCCUCCCUGUGUGUGGUGAGAAAGGCUCACUGCCUGCCAGCGGUACCAGCUGAAGAUUUUCCUCAGUCCUCAAAGGUGCUGAGUAAUGUGAGACCCAGGAAUAAUCGGAGACCCUUCCCACCUCAUUUUCCUGAUCGCAGUUUUCUUCAGAGGGGACGGGAGGUGCUGGCGUCCUUCCUCUCAUUUUCCAGAGGCUGCCCUGAAGACUGGCACGCGAUGCCCCUCAUGAGUUCACAGCUCCGGCCUUUGUGACCAUGAAAGGCAAAUAUUUUGAAUGGAUGGAGAACAUCUUGGCAGCCACUGCAGAGCAAGGAAAGACACUCACGAAAGAGGACUUCCAGAGCUGCUCCCGAAAGUGGCAAGAAGGACAGGAUAAGUGGUCUUCAAAGGUCUCACUAUGUAGUUGAGAGUGACCUGGAAAUCAC